UUAGGGCCCAGCUAAAAUGCUUCUAUUAUGCAAAGCCUGCCUUGACCCCAAGUACACCUAAAGCCCAGAUGUUCUCAUGGCACUCUGUAUAAACUCUUAUUUGGAGCUCAUCAUACACACAAAAGGUGUUUUGUUUGGUUGGGAACGCAGUGAUAGGAAACUUCAUUCUCAGAGUACUCAUAAUGUAAUCAGGAAGCAAAGCCUAAGGAAAGCAAGUCACUCGAGGCCUGGACUCAAAUGCUGACACUGCGUCUGUUCUUCCUCUUUCUCAUUUUCUCUCUAGUCUCUAAAAAUCUUAAGUCCUAGUCCCUGA
rnacentral:lncRNA from 1 species